rnacentral:tRNA from 1 species
GUCUGCCUGGCUCAGUUGAUAGAGCAUGCGACUCUGGAUCUCAAGGUUGUGAGUUCGAGCCCCAUGCUGGGUG